rnacentral:miRNA from 1 species
CCCACCCUGACGCAUCCUGUACUGAGCUGCCCCGAGCUGAGCACCGUGAAGGACCUCGGGGCAGCUCAGUACAGGACCCCUCAGGGAGGG